GCCGGGCGUGGUGGCUCACGCCUGUAAUCCCAGAACUUUGGGAGGCUGAGGCGGGUGGAUCACCUGAGGUCAGGAGUUCAAGACCAGCCUGACCAACAUGGUGAAACCCCAUCUUUA
ensembl:misc_RNA Metazoa_SRP Metazoan signal recognition particle RNA